AUUGAACGCUGGCGGCAGGCCUAACACAUGCAAGUCGAACGAUUGGCGGACGGGUGAGUAAUGUCUGGGAAACUGCCCGUUGGAGGGGGUUAACUACUGGAAACGGUAGCUAAUACCGCAUACCAUCGGAUGUGCCCAGAUGGGAUUAGCUAGUAGGGGGGGUAACGGCUCACCUGGGCGACGAUCCCUAGCUGGUCUGAGAGGAUGACCAGCCAAACUGGAACGAAGACACGGUCCAGACUCCUAGGGAAGGCAGAAUAGGGGAAUAUUGCAAAAUGGGCGCAAGCCUGAUGCAGCCAUGCCGCGUGUAUGAAGAAGGCCUUCGGGUUGUAAAGUACGUUCAGCGAGGAGGCGUUAAUCGCAGAAGAAGCACCGGCUAACUCCGUGCCAGCAGCCGCGGUAAUAC
rnacentral:rRNA from 1 species